ACCUUAGAGACCAACUAAGUUUGUUCUUGGUAUGAGCUUUUGUGUACAUGCACACUUCUUCAGAUAUUAAGAAGUAUCUGAAAAGGUGUGCAUGCACACGAAAGCUCAUACCAAGAACAAACUUAGUUGGUCUCUAAGGU
rnacentral:miRNA from 1 species